AUUGAACGCUGGCGGCAUGCUUUACACAUGCAAGUCGAACGGUAACAGGUUAAGCUGACGAGUGGCGAACGGGUGAGUAAUGCAUCGGAACGUGCCCGGUCGUGGGGGAUAACGCAGCGAAAGCUGCGCUAAUACCGCAUACGAUCUGAGGAUGAAAGCGGGGGACCGUAAGGCCUCGCGCGAUCGGAGCGGCCGAUGUCAGAUUAGGUAGUUGGUGGGGUAAAGGCUCACCAAGCCGACGAUCUGUAGCUGGUCUGAGAGGACGACCAGCCACACUGGGACUGAGACACGGCCCAGGCUCCUACGGGAGGCAGCAGUGGGGAAUUUUGGACAAUGGGCGCAAGCCUGAUCCAGCAAUGCCGCGUGCAGGAAGAAGGCCUUCGGGUUGUAAACUGCUUUUGUACGGAGCGAAAAGGCUCUCUCUAAUACGGAGGGCUCAUGACGGUACCGUAAGAAUAAGCACCGGCUAACUACGUGCCAGCAGCCGCCGUAAAAC
rnacentral:rRNA from 1 species